UUAUCAGCCUGAGGCUUGGCAAGGACAACCUCCAACAUUUGACCGUCAAUUUCGUAUUUCUCGCUAUCUUUGACAGCCUUCAAUGCACUUGACCUUUCAGCGUAAUGAAUGAACCCAAAAUCUCGUUUUCCUGCUUUGCCAGGUGGCAUAACAACUUUUGUUACUUCCCCAUGGCGCAUGAAUAGUUCCUUCAGUUGCUCAGUACUAGUGUUCUCAGGUAUGUUCUUUACAUACAAAGCCUUAACCUGGGCAGCAGCAGCAGAAUGAUCAGGUGUGCCCUU
rnacentral:misc_RNA from 1 species